AGCGCUAUAGCCAAACGGUAAGGCAGCGGACUCUGACUCCGUCAUUUGAAGGUUCGAAUCCUUCUAGCGCUG
rnacentral:tRNA from 1 species